rnacentral:tRNA from 1 species
GCCGCCGUAGCUCAGUUGGUAGAGCGCCACCUUGGUAAGGUGGAGGUCGCGAGUUCGAUCCUCGCCGGCGGCUCCA